rnacentral:rRNA from 1 species
UUUAUUAAGAGUUUGAUCAUGGCUCAGAUUGAACGCUAGCGGCAAGCUUAACACAUGCAAGUCGAGCGGCUAACAUAAUAUAAUUGUAAUUUAUUAUUAUUAUAUUGAUGGCAAGCGGCGUACGGGUGAGUAAUAUCUGGGAAUCUGCCUUAUGAUGGGGGACAACUAUUGGAAACGAUAGCUAAUACCGCAUAAUAUCUUUAUAUCUUAAAAGAUUUUAGAUUAAAGUAGGGGAUCUUUUAAAAGACCUUAUGUCAUUAGAUGAGCCCAGACGAGAUUAGCUUGUAGGUGAGGUAAAAGCUACACCUAGGCAAUGAUCUCUAGCUGGUCUGAGAGGAUGGUCAGCCACAUUGGAACUGAGAUACGGUCCAAACUCCUAUGGGAGGCAGCAGUGGGGAAUAUUGCACAAUGGGGGAAACCCUGAUGCAGCUAUGUCGCGUGUGCGAUGAAGGUCUUUUGAUUGUAAAGCACUUUCAGCAUAGGAAGAAGUUAAUAUAACUAAUAAUUAUUAUUAAUUGACAUUACUUGCAGAAGAAGUACCGGCUAACUCCGUGCCAGCAGCCGCGGUAAUACGGAGGGUGCAAGCGUUAAUCGGAAUUAUUGGGCGUAAAGGGUGCGUAGGUGGUUUAUUAAGUCAAAUGUGAAAUUUUUAAGCUUAACUUAAAAACUGCAUUUGAAACUAAUAUACUAGAGUUUUAUAGAGGGGAGUAGAAUUUCAAGUGUAGCGGUGAAAUGCGUAGAUAUUUGAAAGAAUACCAGAGGCGAAGGCGACUCCCUGGGUAAUAACUGACACUGAGGCACGAAAGCUUGGGUAGCAAACAGGAUUAGAUACCCUGGUAGUCCAUGCUGUAAACGAUGUCAAUUUGAAGAAUGUAAAUAUUUUUUAAAUUUAUAUUUUUCGUAGCUAACGCGUUAAAUUGACCGCCUGGGAAGUACGACCGCAAGGUUAAAACUCAAAUGAAUUGACGGGGGCCCGCACAAGCGGUGGAGCAUGUGGUUUAAUUCGAUGCAACGCGAAAAACCUUACCUACUCUUGACAUUUAAAGUAAUAAAAUAGAGAUAUUUUAGUGCCUUGAAAAAGGAAUCUUUAAACAGGUGCUGCAUGGCUGUCGUCAGCUCGUGUUGUGAAAUGUUGGGUUAAGUCCUUUAACGAGCGCAACCCUUAUUCUUUGUUGCCAGCGUAAAGUCGGGAACUCAAAGAAAACUGCCAGUGAUUUAAAACUGGAGGAAGGUGAGGACGACGUCAAGUCAUCAUGGCCCUUAUGAGUAGGGCUACACACGUGCUACAAUGGUAUAUACAAAGAGAAGCAACUUCGCGAGAACAAGCAAAUCUCAAAAAGUAUAUCAUAGUCCGGAUUGGAGUCUGCAACUCGACUCUAUGAAGUAGGAAUCGCUAGUAAUCGUAGAUCAGCAUGCUACGGUGAAUAUGUUCUCGGGCCUUGUACACACCGCCCGUCACACCAUGGAAGUGAAUUGCAAAAGAAGCGAGAAAACUUAAUCAAGUAAAAUUGAAAAGAUCUUUCCACUUUGUGUUUCAUGACUGGGGUGAAGUCGUAACAAGGUAACCGUAGGGGAACCUGUGGUUGGAUCACCUCCUUG